ACUACUCUUGCCGCCUUCGG
rnacentral:siRNA from 1 species